UUCAGGAUGAACGCUAGCUACAGGCUUAACACAUGCAAGUCGAGGGGCAGCAUGGUCUUAGCUUGCUAAGGCCGAUGGCGACCGGCGCACGGGUGAGUAACACGUAUCCAACCUGCCGUCUACUCUUGGACAGCCUUCUGAAAGGAAGAUUAAUACAAGAUGGCAUCAUGAGUCCGCAUGUUCACAUGAUUAAAGGUAUUCCGGUAGACGAUGGGGAUGCGUUCCAUUAGAUAGUAGGCGGGGUAACGGCCCACCUAGUCUUCGAUGGAUAGGGGUUCUGAGAGGAAGGUCCCCCACAUUGGAACUGAGACACGGUCCAAACUCCUACGGGAGGCAGCAGUGAGGAAUAUUGGUCAAUGGGCGAGAGCCUGAACCAGCCAAGUAGCGUGAAGGAUGACUGCCCUAUGGGUUGUAAACUUCUUUUAUAAAGGAAUAAAGUCGGGUAUGGAUACCCGUUUGCAUGUACUUUAUGAAUAAGGAUCGGCUAACUCCGUGCCAGCAGCCGCGGUAAUACGGAGGAUCCGAGCGUUAUCCGGAUUUAUUGGGUUUAAAGGGAGCGUAGAUGGAUGUUUAAGUCAGUUGUGAAAGUUUGCGGCUCAACCGUAAAAUUGCAGUUGAUACUGGAUAUCUUGAGUGCAGUUGAGGCAGGCGGAAUUCGUGGUGUAGCGGUGAAAUGCUUAGAUAUCACGAAGAACUCCGAUUGCGAAGGCAGCCUGCUAAGCUGCAACUGACAUUGAGGCUCGAAAGUGUGGGUAUCAAACAGGAUUAGAUACCCUGGUAGUCCACACGGUAAACGAUGAAUACUCGCUGUUUGCGAUAUACUGCAAGCGGCCAAGCGAAAGCGUUAAGUAUUCCACCUGGGGAGUACGCCGGCAACGGUGAAACUCAAAGGAAUUGACGGGGGCCCGCACAAGCGGAGGAACAUGUGGUUUAAUUCGAUGAUACGCGAGGAACCUUACCCGGGCUUAAAUUGCAGAUGAAUUACGGUGAAAGCCGUAAGCCGCAAGGCAUCUGUGAAGGUGCUGCAUGGUUGUCGUCAGCUCGUGCCGUGAGGUGUCGGCUUAAGUGCCAUAACGAGCGCAACCCUUGUUGUCAGUUACUAACAGGUUCCGCUGAGGACUCUGACAAGACUGCCAUCGUAAGAUGUGAGGAAGGUGGGGAUGGCGUCAAAUCAGCACGGCCCUUACGUCCGGGGCUACACACGUGUUACAAUGGGGGGUACAGAGGGCCGCUACCACGCGAGUGGAUGCCAAUCCCCAAAACCUCUCUCAGUUCGGACUGGAGUCUGCAACCCGACUCCACGAAGCUGGAUUCGCUAGUAAUCGCGCAUCAGCCACGGCGCGGUGAAUACGUUCCCGGGCCUUGUACACACCGCCCGUCAAGCCAUGGGAGCCGGGGGUACAAGAAGUGCGUAACCGCGAGGAGCGCCCUA
rnacentral:rRNA from 1 species